CUUUAUUGGAGAGUUUGAUCCUGGCUCAGGAUGAACGCUGGCGGCGUGCCUAAUACAUGCAAGUCGAGCGAAUGGAUUAAGAGCUUGCUCUCAAGAAAUUAGCGGCGGACGGGUGAGUAACACGUGGGUAACCUGCCCAUAAGACUGGGAUAACUCCGGGAAACCGGGGCUAAUACCGGAUAACAUUUUGAACUGCAUGGUUCGAAAUUGAAAGGCGGCUUCGGCUGUCACUUAUGGAUGGACCCGCGUCGCAUUAGCUAGUUGGUGAGGUAACGGCUCACCAA
rnacentral:rRNA from 1 species